AUGCCAUUUGGACUCUCAAAUGCACCAAGUACCUUUAUGUGCUUAAUGAGUCAAGUCCUUCGACCCUUCUUGUCUCACUUUGUUGUGGUCUAUUUCGAUGACAUCUUGAUCUAUAGCAAGGAUGAGGAUGAACACUUUGAUCACAUUCGGAAGGUGCUAGAAGUACUAAGGGAAAAUGAGCUCUACGUCAACUUGAAGAAAUGUGUUUUCCUGCAAACACAACUUCUUUUCCUAGCAUUCGUCAUAACAUGUGACGGCAUUCAUGUUGAUGAUUCUAAGGUUGAAGCAAUCCGAGAAUGGCCAACUCCGAAGACCAUUUCUGAGGUAAGAAGUUUUCAUGGCCUUGCAACUUUCUAUAGGCGAUUUGUGAAGAAUUUCAGCACUAUCAUGGCACCAAUUACCGAGUGUUUGACGAAAGGAAAGUUCCAAUGGACAGAAGCAGCUGAAGCUAGUUUCAAUGAGAUUAAACAAAAACUAUAA
rnacentral:rRNA from 1 species